GAGGUCCUGCCCCCUGCUUGUGCGGGCUGGAGCGGGCCGGGACACGCAGACACCGGAGCUCCUGCUGCUUGAAGGCUGCGCCAGCCCAAGGCCCGGACGGGGGCUGCUGUUAAUGUUUGGUGAAGUGACUGUUGAAGACGGCUGGUUCGCCUGAGUCAAGGGCCUAAGUAAGAAACUAAUUCAUAAACCAAAGUUGGCUUGAAACAGAGGAACAUGUACUUCAAAACUCCGAUUUUACCUGGAAAGACAACUUUGAUCAAGCACAGGUCACACAUCAAGGAAGGGAGGGACAGUUGGAGGGGAAGAGAUCUAGAUUGGCAGGCAGCCCUCCCUGCACCAUCUCGUUGGAGUCCUGAGGAGACCCGGCCUUGGCUGCAUGGGAGAACUGCUCCUCGAUGCUGGGCAGAACCCAGAGAGAGCUUUCUCCGGUCUUCUGGCUCCCAUAUCAAUCACUUGAGGGGACUCAGGGGCCCUCGCCCCCAUCUGCUUAUGUGGACUCUUCCUUUAUGGCCCUCCUCUUCAACCCCCACCACCGAGACAGACCUCACCAGUAUGGAGAAGACUUAAAAUUUAAAAUGUUCCUGUCCAGCACAAAGGGCAGGUGGUAGAAAAGUCUAACCUCUCUUUAGAGAGAAACCCACUUCUCUCUGGUCUUCAUUUGUCCCUUUUAACUUUGAAUGACUCAUCAAAUCAUUCUGCAAGAGUUGUAGUAACAAAGGAAAAAAGCACCUGAAAGCAGAGAAUGUUGAAACAAUCUCAAAAACAUGACACAGGACACAAUGUUUCAAAACGUGGAUAUUGUUUACUUGAAGCAACAGUCCAGGAUUGUGAAGUACAACACACAUUUUAAGGAUGAGGCUUUCAUUUCAUGGUCAAACACCAGCGUCAUGCACACAGCGUCAGGUUAUUUAACAGCAAUGCCCCUGUGGGGUCCGUUCCCGGACGAAGACCCGCUUCGGUGACGGCCUCCCUCGCUUGCUUCACCACUUUCAGUCGCAGCCAGUCUGAUUGUACGUCGGAGCCUUCCUCCGCGUGAGAGCACCAGGCGGUGCUCACCAGCCAGCC